AUUCUGUGGAGACCAGAAACCACCUUAAAAAAUGGGGCGGAACCGAAAAGCCAGAUGAGUAGAAAAACC
rfam:Bacteroidetes bacterium GWF2_41_31 gwf2_scaffold_111, whole genome shotgun sequence.